GUGGGUACAGCCCAGUGGUAGAGCGCAUGCUUAGCAUGCAUGAGGUUCUGGGUUCAAUCCCCAAUACCUCCA
rnacentral:tRNA from 1 species